AUUGAACGCUGGCGGCAGGCCUAACACAUGCAAGCCGAACGAGUGGCGGACGGGUGAGUAAUGUCUGGGAAACUGCCCGAUGGCGGGGGAUAACUACUGGCAACGGUAGCUAAUACCGCAUACCAUCGGAUGUGCCCAGAUGGGAUUAGCUAGUAGGUGGGGUAAUGUCUCACCUAGGCGACGAUCCCUAGCUGGUCUGAGAGGAUGACCAGCGACACCGGAACUGAGACACGGUCGCAACGCCGACGGGAGGCAGCAGUGGGGAAUAUUGCACAAUGGGGGCAAGCCUGAUGCAGCCAUGCCGCGUGUAGGAAGAAGGCCUUCGGGUUGUAAAGUACUUUCAGCGGGGAGGCGUGACCCGCAGAAGAAGCACCGGCUAACUCCGUGCCAGCAGCCGCGGUAAUUC
rnacentral:rRNA from 1 species